AUAGUUUAAAGUGGCUAGUGAUACAUGUAUUACAUAAAUAUGGUUGGCCCUGUCUGGGGGUAUCGUCGGACAGGGCCACAGUGUCCCCUGAUCCACCCCUGUUUCAGUCUCCAGUAUCUAUGCUGUAAUAGUCUAUGUGCCAAGGGGCUAGGGUCAAUCUGUUAUAUCUGGUGUAAUUCUCCUAUCUUAUCUGGUGUCCUGUGUGAAUUUAAGGAUACUCCCUCUAAUUCUCUCUCUCUCUCUCUCUCUCUCUCUCUCCCUCUCCUCCCGGAGGACCUGAGCCCUAGGAUCAUGCCUCUGGACGGCCUGGCGUGAUGACUCUUGGCUGUCCCCAGUCCACCUGGUCGUGCUGCUGCUCCAGUUUCAACUGUUCUCCCUGCGGCUAGGGAACCCUGACCUGUUCACCAGAUGUUCUACCCUGUCCCGGACCUGCUGUUUUCGACUCUCUCUCUACUGAACCUGCUGUCUCAACAUCUGAAUGCUCAGCUAUGAAAAGCCAACUGACAUUUACUCCUGAGGUACUGACCUGUUGCACCCGCUACAACCACUGUGAGUAUUAUUUGACCCUGCUGGUCAUCUAUGAACGUUUGAACAUCUUGAAGAACCAUCUGGCCUUAAAUGGCCAUGUACUUUUAUAAUCUCCACCCAGCACAGCCAGAAGAGGACUGGCCUUCCCUCACAGCCUGGUUCCUCUCUAGGUUUCUUCCUAGGAUCCUGCCUUUCUAGGGAGUUUUUCCUAGCCACCGUGCUUCUACAUCUGCAUUUCUUGCUGUUUGGGGUUUUAGACUGUGUUUCUGUCACUUUGUGACAGCUGCUGAUGUAAAAAGGGCUUUAUAAAUACAUUUGAUUGACUGAUUGACUGCAGAGAAUAUGAGGGUCUUUGAGAAAAACAACAUUAAUUAUAUCAUACAUUACCUUACCCACUCAUGCUGACAAAAGGCUGCAAACACAUACCCCACUCUGUCUAUGCAAAUGUGCACAACGCCACAAGGAGCUCUCUACCACUCCCAAGAUUUCCUCAGAUAUCUUCAAAGCGUUUCAGAACUCCUGCAAAGCCUUGGUUUAUUUAGAGGCAUCGGAUCAACAGCGUGGCACCUGGGGAGCCUGAGCUGUCUCAUCCGUUUGUCACCAGGAGUUGUGUUCUUAUUUUCCACUUCCGCACAUCCAAGUCUAUUCCUCCCUUCCUCCGCCUACCUUUCUCCCCUACCUCCUACCCCCUACCUCCUCACAGCGGAAGUUCGUCAAAUAACCGAGCAACACUUCAAAAACAGGAGCUGGGGUGUUGUCCUCUAAAAAUCUCAGCAUGGUCUGUCCUUCUCAGAGAGGAAAAGGGGGACAGGGGGAGAGGUGAGACAAGAGAGAAAAGAGAAGAGAGCGUAGAGGAGAGAGUGUGGCCGGAGAGGGGAGAGAUCAGAGAGGAGAUGAAGCGGGGAGAAAGACGAGAGGGG
ensembl:lncRNA